GCGGUUGUGGUGGAAUUGGUAGACACGCAGCGUUGAGGUCGCUGUGGUUUAAAAAAAGACCUUGGAAGUUCGAGUCUUCUCAACCGCACCA
rnacentral:tRNA from 1 species